rnacentral:lncRNA from 1 species
GUGAAACCACUGAGCUAAAUCCCCAGCCCAGGCUGGACUGGAACUCAUGAUCCUCCUGCCUCAGCUUCCUGAGUGAGACGACAGGUUGUGACGGACCAGCAGUCACCAGUCGAACAGUUCCUGAAUGGGGGAAAGGACGACUGAGAAAAAUCAAGAGAAGAGACAGAGUCGGGAGGGCUCCCAAGACCGAGCAAACUUUGGCCUCAGGAGGGCCAGGAUGGGAUCUGGCACACAGUAGAUGCUUAAUAACAAAAGAACCUCUGUCAUUAGCCCUCAUGGACCUCAGCAUCAUAUUCUCCACCAAGCCUUCCUAGCCCAUCUGCUGUCCAUCCCCAGACAUGGAGGACCCCUGAGCCUUUCCCCACGAUGGACCCUUCCACCCAGAAAACCCUUCCAGGCAGCGGCAAUUCAUCUUCCCAUCCCUCUUCCCAGCUCAGCCCUGGGGCAGGGGGUGCAUCCCAUCUGUGAGCCUCCGAGUCACCAACUGUCAUAGAUGAGCUUUUGAGAUGAGACUAUGGCAUUUUAGCAAAACUGCUGGCAAGGUGGGAAGUAGCAUAGGAAAUCAAGUGAUUUCCCUUCCAGCCUGCUGUCCCCAGAGCCCAGUGCCCCCACCCUGGGCCUCAGGACUUGUACACAAGGACUUUGAUGCCCACCGGGGCAGGCACUAUUUGCUUCAGCACAAGCUGUGUCUGUCUUCCCUGUUCCCCUAUCAAACUUCCC